GGGUUGUGAGGUUAAGCGACUAAGCGUACACGGUGGAUGCCCUGGCAGUCAGAGGCGAUGAAGGACGUGCUAAUCUGCGAUAAGCGUCGGUAAGGUGAUAUGAACCGUUAUAACCGGCGAUUUCCGAAUGGGGAAACCCAGUGUGUUUCGACACACUAUCAUUAACUGAAUCCAUAGGUUAAUGAGGCGAACCGGGGGAACUGAAACAUCUAAGUACCCCGAGGAAAAGAAAUCAACCGAGAUUCCCCCAGUAGCGGCGAGCGAACGGGGAGGAGCCCAGAGCCUGAAUCAGUGUGUGUGUUAGUGGAAGCGUCUGGAAAGGCGCGCGAUACAGGGUGACAGCCCCGUACACAAAAAUGCACAUGCUGUGAGCUCGAUGAGUAGGGCGGGACACGUGGUAUCCUGUCUGAAUAUGGGGGGACCAUCCUCCAAGGCUAAAUACUCCUGACUGACCGAUAGUGAACCAGUACCGUGAGGGAAAGGCGAAAAGAACCCCGGCGAGGGGAGUGAAAAAGAACCUGAAACCGUGUACGUACAAGCAGUGGGAGCACAGAGCAAUCUGUGUGACUGCGUACCUUUUGUAUAAUGGGUCAGCGACUUAUAUUCUGUAGCAAGGUUAACCGAAUAGGGGAGCCGAAGGGAAACCGAGUCUUAACUGGGCGUUAAGUUGCAGGGUAUAGACCCGAAACCCGGUGAUCUAGCCAUGGGCAGGUUGAAGGUUGGGUAACACUAACUGGAGGACCGAACCGACUAAUGUUGAAAAAUUAGCGGAUGACUUGUGGCUGGGGGUGAAAGGCCAAUCAAACCGGGAGAUAGCUGGUUCUCCCCGAAAGCUAUUUAGGUAGCGCCUCGUGAAUUCAUCUCCGGGGGUAGAGCACUGUUUCGGCAAGGGGGUCAUCCCGACUUACCAACCCGAUGCAAACUGCGAAUACCGGAGAAUGUUAUCACGGGAGACACACGGCGGGUGCUAACGUCCGUCGUGAAGAGGGAAACAACCCAGAGCGCCAGCUAAGGUCCCAAAGUCAUGGUUAAGUGGGAAACGAUGUGGGAAGGCCCAGACAGCCAGGAUGUUGGCUUAGAAGCAGCCAUCAUUUAAAGAAAGCGUAAUAGCUCACUGGUCGAGUCGGCCUGCGCGGAAGAUGUAACGGGGCUAAACCAUGCACCGAAGCUGCGGCAGCGACGCUGAUGCGUUGUUGGGUAGGGGAGCGUUCUGUAAGCCUGUGAAGGUGUGCUGUGAGGCAUGCUGGAGGUAUCAGAAGUGCGAAUGCUGACAUAAGUAACGAUAAAGCGGGUGAAAAGCCCGCUCGCCGGAAGACCAAGGGUUCCUGUCCAACGUUAAUCGGGGCAGGGUGAGUCGACCCCUAAGGCGAGGCCGAAAGGCGUAGUCGAUGGGAAACAGGUUAAUAUUCCUGUACUUGGUGUUACUGCGAAGGGGGGACGGAGAAGGCUAUGUUGGCCGGGCGACGGUUGUCCCGGUUUAAGCGUGUAGGCUGGUUUUCCAGGCAAAUCCGGAAAACUAAGGCUGAGGCGUGAUGACGAGGCACUACGGUGCUGAAGCAACAAAUGCCCUGCUUCCAGGAAAAGCCUCUAAGCAUCAGGUAACAUCAAAUCGUACCCCAAACCGACACAGGUGGUCAGGUAGAGAAUACCAAGGCGCUUGAGAGAACUCGGGUGAAGGAACUAGGCAAAAUGGUGCCGUAACUUCGGGAGAAGGCACGCUGAUAUGUAGGUGAAGUCCCUCGCGGAUGGAGCUGAAAUCAGUCGAAGAUACCAGCUGGCUGCAACUGUUUAUUAAAAACACAGCACUGUGCAAACACGAAAGUGGACGUAUACGGUGUGACGCCUGCCCGGUGCCGGAAGGUUAAUUGAUGGGGUCAGCGCAAGCGAAGCUCUUGAUCGAAGCCCCGGUAAACGGCGGCCGUAACUAUAACGGUCCUAAGGUAGCGAAAUUCCUUGUCGGGUAAGUUCCGACCUGCACGAAUGGCGUAAUGAUGGCCAGGCUGUCUCCACCCGAGACUCAGUGAAAUUGAACUCGCUGUGAAGAUGCAGUGUACCCGCGGCAAGACGGAAAGACCCCGUGAACCUUUACUAUAGCUUGACACUGAACAUUGAGCCUUGAUGUGUAGGAUAGGUGGGAGGCUUUGAAGUGUGGACGCCAGUCUGCAUGGAGCCGACCUUGAAAUACCACCCUUUAAUGUUUGAUGUUCUAACGUUGACCCGUAAUCCGGGUUGCGGACAGUGUCUGGUGGGUAGUUUGACUGGGGCGGUCUCCUCCUAAAGAGUAACGGAGGAGCACGAAGGUUGGCUAAUCCUGGUCGGACAUCAGGAGGUUAGUGCAAUGGCAUAAGCCAGCUUGACUGCGAGCGUGACGGCGCGAGCAGGUGCGAAAGCAGGUCAUAGUGAUCCGGUGGUUCUGAAUGGAAGGGCCAUCGCUCAACGGAUAAAAGGUACUCCGGGGAUAACAGGCUGAUACCGCCCAAGAGUUCAUAUCGACGGCGGUGUUUGGCACCUCGAUGUCGGCUCAUCACAUCCUGGGGCUGAAGUAGGUCCCAAGGGUAUGGCUGUUCGCCAUUUAAAGUGGUACGCGAGCUGGGUUUAGAACGUCGUGAGACAGUUCGGUCCCUAUCUGCCGUGGGCGCUGGAGAACUGAGGGGGGCUGCUCCUAGUACGAGAGGACCGGAGUGGACGCAUCACUGGUGUUCGGGUUGUCAUGCCAAUGGCACUGCCCGGUAGCUAAAUGCGGAAGAGAUAAGUGCUGAAAGCAUCUAAGCACGAAACUUGCCCCGAGAUGAGUUCUCCCUGACUCCUUGAGAGUCCUGAAGGAACGUUGAAG
rnacentral:rRNA from 1 species